GAGGAUACGGUUAACGGAGCGAAAGCGACGUUCAACCGCAAAACAAGCAGAGGGGGCUUAGUGGUGGGGUGACUGCGUACCUUUUGUAUAAUGGGUCAGCGACUUAUAUUCUGUAGCAAGGUUAACCGAAUAGGGGAGCCGGAGGGAAACCGAGUCUUAAUUGGGCGUUAAGUUGCAGGGUAUAGACCCGAAACCCGGUGAUCUAGCCAUGGGCAGGUUGAAGGUUGGGUAACACUAACUGGAGGACCGAACCGACUAAUGUUGAAAAAUUAGCGGAUGACCUGUGGCUGGGGGUGAAAGGCCAAUCAAACCGGGAGAUAGCUGGUUCUCCCCGAAAGCUAUUUAGGUAGCGCCUCGUGAAUUCAUCUCCGGGGGUAGAGCACUGUUUCGGCUAGGGGGCCAUCCCGGCUUACCAACCCGAUGCAAACUGCGAAUACCGGAGAAUGUUAUCACGGGAGACACACGGCGGGUGCUAACGUCCGUCGUGAAGAGGGAAACAACCCAGACCGCCAGCUAAGGUCCCAAAGUCAUGGUUAAGUGGGAAACGAUGUGGGAAGGCCCAGACAGCCAGGAUGUUGGCUUAGAAGCAGCCAUCAUUUAAAGAAAGCGUAAUAGCUCACUGGUCGAGUCGGCCUGCGCGGAAGAUGUAACGGGGCUAAACCAUGCACCGAAGCUGCGGCAGCGAACGUAUCACCCAAGACAACUUUACGGAGUUGACGAUUGACGGAGCGAAGCGACGUCAAAGCGUUCAUUAAAGUCGAGUUGGCUUAGGGAUACGUUCGUUGGGUAGGGGAGCGUUCUGUAAGCCUGUGAAGGUGUGUCGUGAGGCAUGCUGGAGGUAUCAGAAGUGCGAAUGCUGACAUAAGUAACGAUAAAGCGGGUGAAAAGCCCGCUCGCCGGAAGACCAAGGGUUCCUGUCCAACGUUAAUCGGGGCAGGGUGAGUCGACCCCUAAGGCGAGGCCGAAAGGCGUAGUCGAUGGGAAACGGGUUAAUAUUCCCGUACUUGGUGUUACUGCGAAGGGGGGACGGAGAAGGCUAUGUUGGCCGGGCGACGGUUGUCCCGGUUUAAGCGUGUAGGUGUGUGUUCCAGGUAAAUCCGGUUCACUUUAACACUGAGGCGUGACGACGAGGCACUACGGUGCUGAAGCAACAAAUGCCCUGCUUCCA
rnacentral:rRNA from 1 species